UAGUUACAGUUUGUUCGCACUGAUUAAUGGCCGGACAGUAUAAAACCACCCAGGUACGAAGAAGCGUUGUAAGCUCUGCCUGUUUAACCCCCUAGCGUGUUGGAUUCAGUCAUCAGCUUCGCGGUCACCGGCUAGUCUUCUCCUGCUGCCCGUGUUUUAGACACCAUCCCUUAUUCAUUCUACAGCUGAACGUGGAUGUGGGGCCCUCUUUGAGGGAGGCUAGUCACCUGGUGGUGGGACCCUGUAGCUGCACGUUUGUGGUGUCAUUGUUGCUUGCGGUGGGCUGCUGUGUCACUGGUAAGUCACUUUCUUGCAGUGUGUAUGCAUGUGUGAUGGCUGGAACUUAGAACACACCUCCAGUUAGUCUGUCUCCCUCAGGUAAGCCCCCAUCUGCUGUAUCUUUUUAGCUCCAGUGGAGCCUUGGCCCCACUUUAGAAAUCACCUGUUCAUAUUGUAUUAUAAUAAAAGAUAACAAUAAUAAAUAUUUUUGUACUUUCAUAACCUCUGACUCGUUUCAGGUAUUAUUGCAGGACGCUCCUCCCUUCCCCCCUUUGGUAAUUUAAUAAACUUUUAUGAUUUGACUGGAA